CCGGUUGAUCCCGCCGGAGGCCAUUGCUAUCAGGGUUUGACUAAGCCAUGCGAGUCGAGAGGUGUAAGACCUCGGCAUACUGCUCAGUAACACGUGGUUAACCUGCCCUAAGGUGGAGAAUACUCCCGGGAAACUGGGGCUAAUGCUCCAUAGUGGAUAUGUCCUGGAAUGGUAUAUCCUCGAAAGAUCCGUCGCCUUAGGAUGGGACUGCGUCCGAUUAGGUUGUUGGCGGGGUAACGGCCCACCAAGCCUUUUAUCGGUACGGGUUGUGGGAGCAAGAUCCCGGAGAUGGAUUCUGAGACAUGAAUCCAGGUCCUACGGGGCGCAGCAGGCGCGCAAACUUUACAAUGCGAGCAAUCGUGAUAAGGAAACCCUGAGUGCCUGUCGAUGCAGGCUGUUCAUAUAUCUAAAUCAUAUGUGAAGAAAGGGCAGGGCAAGACCGGUGCCAGCCGCCGCGGUAAUACCGGCUGCUCGAGUGAUGGCCACUAUUACUGGGUUUAAAGCGUCCGUAGCUUGACUGUUAGGUCUCUUGGGAAAUCUUCGCGCUCAACGUGAAGGCGUCUAAGAGAUACCGGCAGUCUUGGAACUGGGAGAGGUAAACCGUACUUCGGGGGUAGGAGUGAAAUCUUGUAAUCCUCGAGGGACGACCUAUGGCGAAGGCAGUUUACCAGAACAGCUUCGACAGUGAGGGACGAAAGCUGGGGGAGCAAACGGGAUUAGAUACCCCGGUAGUCCCAGCCGUAAACAAUGUGCGUUAGGUGUGUCGGUAACCACGUGUUACUGAUGCGCCGAAGAGAAAUCGUGAAACGCACCACCUGGGAAGUACGGUCGCAAGGCUGAAACUUAAAGGAAUUGGCGGGGGAGCACCAUAACAGGUGGAGCCUGCGGUUUAAUUGGAUUCAACGCCGGACAUCUCACCGGAUAAGACAGCUGAAUGAUUGUCAAUCUGAAGGUUUUACAUGACUAGCUGAGGGG
rnacentral:rRNA from 1 species